rnacentral:rRNA from 1 species
GACGAACGCUGGCGGCGUGCUUAACACAUUCAAGUCGAACGGAAAGGCCCUGCUUUUGUGGGGUGCUCGAGUGGCGAACGGGUGAGUAACACGUGAGUAACCUGCCCUUGACUUUGGGAUAACUUCAGGAAACUGGGGCUAAUACCGGAUAGGAGCUCCUGCUGCAUGGUGGGGGUUGGAAAGUUUCGGCGGUUGGGGAUGGACUCGCGGCUUAUCAGCUUGUUGGUGGGGUAGUGGCUUACCAAGGCUUUGACGAGUAGCCGGCCUGAGAGGGUGACCGGCCACAUUGGGACUGAGAUACGGCCCAGACUCCUACGGGAGGCAGCAGUGGGGAAUAUUGCACAAUGGGCGGAAGCCUGAUGCAGCAACGCCGCGUGCGGGAUGACGGCCUUCGGGUUGUAAACCGCUUUCGCCUGUGACGAAGCGUGAGUGACGGUAAUGGGUAAAGAAGCACCGGCUAACUACGUG